GAGUUUGGCUUGUUGUUAUGAACAUUUUUCGUUUUGGCCAGUUUGAAGGUUUUUGAGCAUGUGUAAUGGCAUGAAUGUGUUGAAUUAGUAAUCCCUUGUGUUAAGCUGUUGUUUUAGUGUUCUUUUGAUGAGUUUGGCUUGUUGUUAUGAAAAGUGUUUGUUUUGGCGAGUUUGAACGUUUCUGAGCAUAUGUAAUGGCAUGAAUGCGUUAAGCUGUUGUUUUAGUGUUCUUUUGAUGAGUUUGGCUUGUUGUUAUGAACAUUGUUCGUUUUGGCGAGUUUGAACGUUUUUGAGCAUGUGUAAUGGCAUGAAUGCGUUAAGCUGUUGUUUUAGUGUUCUUUUGAUGAGUUUGGCUUGUUGUUAUGAACAUUGUUCAUUUUGGCCAGUUUGAACGUUUUUGAGCAUGUGUAAUGGCAUGAAUGCGUUAAGCUGUUGUUUUAGUGUUCUUUUGAUGAGUUUGGCUUGUUGUUAUGAAAAGUGUUUGUUUUGGCGAGUUUGAACGUUUUUGAGCAUGUGUAAUGGCAUGAAUGCGUUAAGCUGUUGUUUUAGUGUUCUUUUGAUGAGUUUGGCUUGUUGUUAUGAACAUUGUUCUGUUUUGGCCAGUUUGAAGGUUUUUGAGCAUGUGUAAUGGCAUGAAUGCGUUAAGCUGUUGUUUUAGUGUUCUUUUGAUGAGUUUGGCUUGUUGUUAUGAACAUUGUUCGUUUUGGCCAGUUUGAAGGUUUUUGAGCAUGUGUAAUGGCAUGAAUGUGUUGAAUUAGUAAUCCCUUGUGUUAAGCCGUUGUUUUAGUGUUCUUUUGAUGAGUUUGGCUUGUUGUUAUGAAAAGUGUUUGUUUUGGCGAGUUUAAACGUUUUUGAGCAUGUGU